GGCAGUGGUGGAUUAGCGGUUAAGGUUCGGGGUUACUGAUCAGAAGGUCGGGGGUUCAAGUCCCAGCACUGCCA